rnacentral:rRNA from 1 species
CCCUUUGAUACUCUGGGCGGCACGCGCGCUACACUGGUUUAUAUAACGUGUAAUUUGGACGAUAGUCUAUAUAAAUCACUAAUAUAAAACCGUGAAUGGGAUAGUUUAUUGCAACUUACAAACUUUAACUAGGAAUCCCUUGUAGAAGUAGUGAAUUAUACUGCUUCGAAUACGUCCCUGCCGAUUGUACACACCGCCCGUCGUUUCUUCCGACUGGUACUCAUUGUGAAUUGCGAGGAGAUUCUGUCAAAUCGUUGUAAAUGCUGGGUAUUGGAGGAAGAAAAAGUCGUAACA